rnacentral:rRNA from 1 species
GAUGAACGCUAGCGGCAGGCUUAAUACAUGCAAGUCGUGGGGCAGCAGGGGUGUAGCAAUACACUCGCUGGCGACCGGCAAACGGGUGCGGAACACGUACGCAAUCUACCCAAAACUGGUGAAUAGCCCUCCGAAAGGAGGAUUAAUACACCGUAACCUAUUGAAGUGGCAUCACUUUAUUAGUAUAGCUCCGGCGGUUUUGGAUGAGCGUGCGGCUGAUUAGAUAGUUGGCGGGGUAACGGCCCACCAAGUCUGCGAUCAGUAACCGGUGUGAGAGCACGACCAGUCACACGGGCACUGAGACACGGGCCCGACUCCUACGGGAGGCAGCAGUAAGGAAUAUUGGUCAAUGGACGCAAGUCUGAACCAGCCAUGCCGCGUGGAGGAUGAAGG